rnacentral:lncRNA from 1 species
CUCAGUGUUACUCAUGCUGCCUCCAUCCCUGGUGCCCUCUCUGUAUCUCUGUGCCUUUGUGCACACUGCUUCCUCUGCCUGGAAGCCCUUCUUCCUUUCUCCACACAACACAUCCCUCCUUACUCAUUAAAGUCCCGUACAAAUGCUAAAGGCAGCUGAUCUUGUCAGCAAACUUGGCCACCAAAUAGAAAAUCUCCUUCUAUGCCCACUAGUCAUGGACAAAACUCAAAAGUUGCAUGGGAACUUCAGUUAUCGGGCAAUGUUACCAGGGUUUGGGGCAGAAGGAACAGAUAAAAGGGACAAUUCUAAGGAAGAUGAUUGAAAGACUGACCCCAAUGUGGAGAGGAUGAUUCCAGCACUACUCGUACUGCACUAGAAUGCAAAUUGCAAGAGGGCAGAUAAAUGGUUCAUUCUGUUUCUAUUCACCGUUUCAUCGCAGGAAUGGAAGCAUAAUAGGCUCUCAGAACAUUUUUGUUCAGUGUUCAAUUGAUGAACAUAGGAGAGAGCUCAGGCUAACUUGGAAGUCAUUUAUGUGUAAGCACAGG